UGCCUAAUCUGCAUCUCUCUGCCAACAGAGGGAUGCAGUCUAGACAUACCCUAGAAGUUAGAACACGGACUUCUGAGUUAGGACUUGAAUUCAGUUCUUAGUGACCCAGAGGAAUUCUUCUCACCUCUCUGUGUCUCAGUGGAUUUAGUAAUACUCAUGUGCUCUGAGUGGGACAUGUUAGGGGUUAAUUUACUGUUUGUUAAUCCUUUGGUAACUUAGAGGAAAAGAGCAGUGUAACAGUAUUAUUAGAAGCAGUGAGGAUCUUGGCUAUAUUAGUGGUACACCUUUUGGGUAAGUUGUGUCAGGGCAAAGAAAUCGGGGCCUGAAUGGAUGAACCAUAUGUAGGUAGAGUUCAUUGGUAUGUGUGGAGGAAACUGUCCAAAGCACACGUUGCAGCUGUAUCCUCUCACAAUAACAGAUUCUUUGCUCCUAAGAACUUACAGUAUAAGAUAGAUAAAUAUAGAGCAGAUUGACAUGUUUUCUGGACAGGGACUUAGUUGUAUUGAGUUCUAAGGUGCUAUUUUCUCUUCUGUUUGUGGGACAUUUGAUAGUGUCAUUCCUUAUUACAUUUAAGGGGAGUUACCACUCUUAAACCCAUGGAAGAUUUGAAAGGUUUUUACCCACAUGAACAUGCUCUUUAGAGCCUCUGAGUUUCCAGAUUAUUCAUUAAAGCAGGGAGUCUGUUGUUUUGUUUCAAGAUGGGUGAACUGGAUGGAACAAAAUAGGAACCGGACCAAAGCUUCAUCUAAAAUUUAAUUCAGGCUUGUUUGUGAGGCUUUUGUUUUCACAGCGGCUUCAGAAUGUUUGAUCAUUGUCCAAGAAUACCGAAAGAAAAGCCUUUGCAUGUCGUACUUCAGGCAUCACAGGAAUCAGCUUGUGUCAUGAUGUAUGGAACCACAGAAAACAAAGACAGAUACAGAUACAGAUUACGGCACAGCUUGAAUUCUAACUUUGCCUCCUUUGUUUAUUGCAGACCACACCCUGCAGGAAACACUGUGCAGCCCCUAGAGACAUCUAGUGGCUGAAUAAUACACUGCAAGUUAACAGAGAGUAGAAGAAGCCGAAGUUGCAGAAGAGAACUGCUUCUCUUGCUGUUUCCAGUUUGAAGAGAAGGGAAAUUCUGUUUCCUUCUCUAUAUUUUCUGCCAUAUCAUGCCCCAGUCCAGGUCUUCUCUGCAUGCAUUCAGUGCUGUCGUCCCUCUGGACCUUGAUCUGCAGAGGAGUGUGGAAAAAACAGGUUUUCACACUGGUCUGGUUUUGUUCAUGUAGAUCCCUGCUGAUGAAAGCUGGAGGCUCAAGACCCCUUUGUCUUCCUUUGCUUGAGGAACACAGCUACUGCCCUGUCCCAGGAUUGGCCUGGGGAAGACAGCGGGAAACAUUUUUCAAGAUCACCCCCUCACCCUGAAAAAAAGAGAUGAUGUGCAUCAACUUAGCAGAUGCUGCUCCUUUGGAGUGUGAAGCAACAAAUCCAAGGUGUUAUGUACAUGGACACAAGUGAAAUGGGAGCGUGUCUCCACUGCAUUGGGGAUUGACACUGCAGCAAUCAGUCCACCGGCUGUUGAUUUAUCGUAUCUCCGUAUACACAACCAGUUGAUCUCCAAGAGCUCUCCCAUUGAUGCCUGUACUCUACCGGGAUGAGAAGAGGAGCUGGUGUCCAGGGGAGUGCAGCCCCUACCAACCUUACCUCAUGCAAGACACUGUGAUAGAUCUCCCAUGGCACCUGGGUAGACUGGAUAUCCCUGAGGUGAGAAGGAUCAUCGAGGCAAAGUUAAAUACAAAGGAAAUGAAUCAGAGAAGAGGAACCUUUGCCUCAUCUCCCAUCAAACCAAUGAAGAAACAGAGGGGUUUUUUCAAUGAUUCAAAAAUGUUUCCCUUCUCCUGGUGGUGGAUGUGUGAGUCACAGUGGCUGGAGAAUAUGGAAGACAAAUCACAGCCUCUAAAGCAAAUUGGAUGCAACUGAAAUCAGGACUGUACUUGAAGAGAUCAAGAAAUGGAGUGUGUUUUUUCCCCACUCAGAUGUUUAGGGAAACGUUUGUUGAAGCGUUAGGCCUAGCAAGAUGGCAGCGCUUGUGCAAUAAGAAUUCACGUGAAGUAACACUGCUAAGAGUGCUGGGGCCAAGGUGCCUGAUUAGCAGCCCUGAAGAAUGAAGAGUUCGGUCUAUCCUCAGUACAGGCACGCCCCAAACUCCAAGCUUCCUUCAGACAGCUCCUGCAAGGUGCCGCAGAUCUGACCUUGGAGGGCCUACCUGUAAGGGUGAGAAGGAAUUUCACACUCUGUGCCAGUUAAAUCCUUGUUUUCAUGCUAGAAAAAGGAUGGUUUCUUAUGCCACGGACAUUUGUCCCCUGGAAAGUGAACCGACACCCACCAAAAUCAUUUACUCAGAUGGGGAUAUUUUAAAAAAUGCUUUUUGUCUAUCUACCAGGCCAGUCUAAUCUAUGCUGAAACACUUCUAUUGCUGAGUCAGAUGCACCAAGUAGAGCCCCAUUUGUACAUAAAAGUUUUGUCAGAACUGGGAUAAAAUAGAAUGUAAUGCCGAAAUGAUUCAUUGUUUAAUGAAUAGGGCCCACAGUGUUCUAUUGAUGCCAUUUAUAAAUCUCUAUAAAAUGGAAAGAAUUCAUGUCAUAACUGGAAAUCCAAGACCAGCAACCUUGUGAGCAAAAUUAUGGUGCACAAUAUAAUAUGAAUUCUAACAUGCUCCCGCUUGAAAGCUACUCAGGCCGUGUUAAAAAUAAGACCAUUUUAUUGUCUAGAUUCAAAACCCAGACUUAUUCUUCCCUUUGCAGUCGUAAAUUACUGAGGAAGGGAGUGAUUUGUGUGUGUAUGUGUACCCAAAAAGUAAAACAUGCAAGAUAGAUCUGCCCUCACCAAUUAGACACUGUUGUAAACUGAAGGCACUAGAAUGACACGCGUGCAAAUCAGCUCAGAUUCCAAACAGAAAGAGGAGUUAAAUGACAGCUUUCCAAAAUGAGUGAGCAGCAAGGCUCAGAGCUGAACCUGGCUGGCCUGACUCCUGGUCUGCUGGGUUAACCUGGAGGCCAUCUUCUCCCGCCUUCCUGUGUGGCCUGUCAGGGUUUUCAUCUGCAAACCAGGAAAAGCCUGGUGGUUUUGACAUGAAACCAGGUGACACUCACCCAUUUGAGUUUUGUGGUGAGGUUUUUGGUUUCAUUCAGGCCUGGGCCAGAAGCAAACCCGUCCACAUGUGUGGAUGCCACAAAAACUCUCAUGUACACCCAGAAACCAAACCCACCACAUUUCACACAGCAGAGCUGGCAUCUUGCCAGCAGCUCAGGGCUGCCCCCAGAUUGUUCAGAAAUAGCUUUAUCUAUUUUAAGUAGAGUAUGUAUUGCCCAGGGGCAAAAUGAUUCCCAACAAAUGAUUAGAUGAAUGUUGCCUUUUUUUCUUUGCACAGUGAUCAUCUCUCUGACCCUACUUGAAUGUGCAUAACUUUUUGAAUUGGGGGUCUGGUGCCAAUAUGGAUACAAGCGUGAAAUUUGAUUCUCUGAUGAGCUAAGUGCUUUGCCCUCCUUUCCCCCAGCCCCUGGGGAACACUGGGGUUUCCGCUUUAAAAUUAAAAAGCAGGCCAAAGCAGUGUUAGCUGUGUUGCAGGCACGCUACUUCCCUCACCCUGCUAUUAGAAAAGGUCCAGAAU